AUUGAACGCUGGCGGUAGGCCUAACACAUGCAAGUCGAGCGGAGCGGCGGACGGGAGAGUAAUGCCAAGGAAUCUGCCUGGUAGUGGGGGAUAACGUCCGGAAACGGGCGCUAAUACCGCAUACUAUCAGAUGAGACUAGGUCGGAUUAGCUAGUUGGUGGGGUAAAGGCCUACCAAGGCGACGAGCCGUAACUGGUCUGAGAGGAUGAUCAGUCACACUGUAACUGGGACACGGUCCAGACUCCUACGGGAGUGAGCAGUGGGGAAUGUUGGACAAGGGGCGAAAGCCUGAGCCAGCCAGGCCGCGUGGGUGAAGAAGGUCUUCGGAUUGUAAAGCACUUUAAGUUGGGAGGCGUUACCAACAGAAUAAGCACCGGCUAACUUCGUUCCAGCAGCCGCGGUAAGAC
rnacentral:rRNA from 1 species